AUUGAACGCUGGCGGCAUGCUUUACACAUGCAAGUCGAACGGUAACAGGUUAAGCUGACGAGUGGCGAACGGGUGAGUAAUGCAUCGGAACGUGCCCGAUCGUGGGGGAUAACGCAGCGAAAGCUGCGCUAAUACCGCAUACGAUCUGAGGAUGAAAGCGGGGGACCGUAAGGCCUCGCGCGAUCGGAGCGGCCGAUGUCAGAUUAGGUAGUUUGUGGGGUAAAGGCCCACCAAGCCGACGAUCUGUAGCUGGUCUGAGAGGACGACCAGCCACACUGGGACUGAGACACGGCCCAGACUCCUACGGGAGGCAGCAGUGGGGAAUUUUGGACAAUGGGCGAAAGCCUGAUCCAGCAAUGCCGCGUGCAGGAAGAAGGCCUUCGGGUUGUAAACUGCUUUUGUACGGAGCGAAAAGGUCCUUUCUAAUACAAGGGGCUCAUGACGGUACCGUAAGAAUAAGCACCGGCUAACUACGUGCCAGCAGCCGCGGUAAGAC
rnacentral:rRNA from 1 species